rnacentral:rRNA from 1 species
UACAGAGGGUGCAAGCGUUGUUCGGAAUUAUUGGGCGUAAAGGGAGUGUAGGCGGUUUCCUAAGUCUUCUGUGAAAUCUCCGAGCUUAACUCGGAAACUGCCGUUGAUACUAUUUGUCUUGAAUAUUGUGGAGGUAAGCGGAAUAUGUCAUGUAGCGGUGAAAUGCUUAGAUAUGACAUAGAACACCAAUUGCGAAGGCAGCUUACUACACAACGAUUGACGCUGAGGCACGAAAGCGUGGGGAUCAAACAGG